GUACAAAUACCCUUGCUAAAUAUUACUCAACUAAAAUACCUGCUUUUAAAAAAUACUUAAGUAUCAAAAGUAAAAAGUACUAUUAUUUAGUAUGGUUAUGUUUGUCAGGGGUUGCUGACAUGACAAACAAUUUUAAAAUACAGUAGGCAAACUAAAUUGUUCACCUCCUAACAUACUGUAUGUAAGAGUGAAAACUAUGGUAUAAAUACAAAUUCACAGUUUAUUUU